UACGGAGGGAGCUAGCGUUGUUCGGAAUUACUGGGCGUAAAGCGCACGUAGGCGGCUUUGUAAGUUAGAGGUGAAAGCCCAGUGCUCAACACUGGAACUGCCUUUAAGACUGCAUCGCUUGAAUCCAGGAGAGGUGAGUGGAAUUCCAAGUGUAGAGGUGAAAUUCGUAGAUAUUCGGAAGAACACCAGUGGCGAAGGCGGCUCACUGGACUGGUAUUGACGCUGAGGUGCGAAAGCGUGGGGAGCAAACAGG
rnacentral:rRNA from 1 species